CACACGGCAGAGCCAGUGCGCUGGCUGUAUGGAGUGAGGAGUAAUGGGGAAUCAAGGACGUCCAGCUGUGGAUGGCAGAAGGGCCACUGUCUGAAGUGGGAAGUCUGGACAUUCCCAAAGGAGUCUUUGAAAGACUGGGUCUUCUCCUGAGCCUGAGAGCAGUGCUUCUUCCAAGUGCACUGCUUCCAUUUUAAGUAUCAGCAUGGCCUGGGAGCUUGUUGGAAUGAAGAAUCUCCAGCUCCAUCCCAAACCUGCUGAAUCAGAAUCAACAUUUAACACAUCACCAGGAUCCCAGGUCACUUGGCUGUCCUUGGCUCAACUGUGAGUAAGGAGGAGUCCUGGGAAAUGAAAAAUGACUACCCAGAUUUGCCACCAAAAUCCAGCAGGAGUGCCUUAGAAAGCAGGGUAAUGUACUAACAGGAUCUGUGGAUCAGGACGUGAACAUCUUUGGAAGCUGUUAUCUACCCCACACCAUCUCUCUAGCACUUAGUACAUGGCCUGUACAGAGCACAUGCUCAGCAAGGAUCUGGAGAAAGAAUGAAUGAAUGAAUGAAUGAAUGAAUGAAUGAAUAAACAAAGAAAUCAGG
rnacentral:lncRNA from 1 species